GUCCACACAUCUUUUAUAACAUUUUUAUCAGAAUUUUUGGAGAUUAUUAUUCAUCACUUUACUUGCCAAGCGACUGCUCAUAGCAGGUGGUAGCUACUUAAAUAACUAGUAGGAACAAUGUUUUUUUUUUUUUUUUUUUUUUUUUUGCAUGAUGACUACCUUAUUAUCUUCACAUAGAGAAUUAAUUUCCUGGAACAAACUUGAUUGAGAUGCUG
rnacentral:misc_RNA from 1 species